rnacentral:rRNA from 1 species
GACGUAGGGUGCGAGCGUUGUCCGGAUUUAUUGGGCGUAAAGAGCUCGUAGGCGGCUCGUCGCGUCGACCGUGAAAACCCGCGGCUUAACUGCGGGCUUGCGGUUGAUACGGGCGGGCUGGAGUUCGGUAGGGGAGACUGGAAUUCCUGGUGUAGCGGUGAAAUGCGCAGAUAUCAGGAGGAACACCUGAGGUGAAGACGGGUUGCUGGGCUGACACUGACGCUGAGGCGCGAAAGCUAGGGGAGCAAACGGG